rnacentral:rRNA from 1 species
GACGAACGCUGGCGGCGUGCUUAACACAUGCAAGUCGAGCGGAAAGGCCACUUCGGUGGUACUCGAGCGGCGAACGGGUGAGUAACACGUGAGUAAUCUGCCCUUCACUCUGGGAUAGCCACCGGAAACGGUGAUUAAUACCGGAUACGACCACUCCACGCAUGUGGUGGUGGUGGAAACUUUUUGGGUGGGGAAUGUGCUCGCGGCCUAUCAGCUUGUUGGUGGGGUAAUGGCCUACCAAGGCUUCGACGGGUAGCCGGCCUGAGAGGGUGACCGGCCACACUGGGACUGAGACACGGCCCAGACUCCUACGGGAGGCAGCAGUGGGGAAUAUUGGACAAUGGGCGGAAGCCUGAUCCAGCAACGCCGCGUGAGGGAUGACGGCCUUCGGGUUGUAAACCUCUUUCAGCACCGACGAAGCGCAAGUGACGGUGGGUGCAGAAGAAGGACCGGCCAACUACGUGCCAGCCGCCGCAGUAA